UGUGGUGUAGCUCAGUGGCAGAGCACCUGCCUUGAAAGCAGGAGGCCCUGAAUUCGAUUUCCAGUACAUAA
rnacentral:tRNA from 1 species